rnacentral:rRNA from 1 species
CACGGGGGGAGCAAGCGUUGUUCGGAAUCACUGGGCGUAAAGGGCGCGUAGGCGGCGUGUCAAGUCAGGCGUGAAAGCCCCGGGCUCAACCUGGGAACCGCGCUUGAGACUGGCAUGCUCGAGUUCGGGAGAGGAUGGUGGAAUUCCCAGUGUAGAGGUGAAAUUCGUAGAUAUUGGGAAGAACACCGAUGGCGAAGGCAGCCAUCUGGACCGACACUGACGCUGAGGCGCGAAAGCGUGGGGAGCAAACAGG